rnacentral:rRNA from 1 species
ACGCGACCCCAGGUCAGGCGGGCUACCCGCUGAGUUU